CACGCCGCGUGCUGGAAGACGGCCCUAUGGGUUGUAAACAGCUUUUUACUGGGGGAAGAACCUGGACCUUUCGAGGACCACUGACGGUACCUAGUGAAUAAGCACCGGCUAACUCCGUGCCAGCCCCCCUCGGUGACUGAGCGGGCUGGCAAGGCGCAUA
rnacentral:rRNA from 1 species